AUACUUAGGGUGCAAGCGUUAAUCGGAAUUACUGGGCGUAAAGCGCUCGUAGGCGGCUUGUUAAGUCGGAUGUGAAAUCCCCGGGCUCAACCUGGGAACUGCAUUCGAUACUGGCAGGCUAGAGUAUAGUAGAGGCAAGUGGAAUUCCGGGUGUAGCGGUGAAAUGCGUAGAUAUCAGGAGGAACAUCAGUGGCGAAGGCGACUUGCUGGACUAAUACUGACGCUGAGGAGCGAAAGCGUGGGGAGCAAACGGGAUUAGAAACCCGAGUAGUCC
rnacentral:rRNA from 1 species